rnacentral:rRNA from 1 species
AUUCAAUAAGCGGAGGAAAAGAAACUAACAAGGAUUCCCCUAGUAACGGCGAGUGAACAGGGAAGAGCUCAAAUUUGUAAUCUGGCGUCCUUUGGGCGUCCGAGUUGUAAUCUAUAGAAGCGUUUUCCGUGCUGGACCAUGUCCAAGUCCCUUGGAACAGGGUAUCAAAGAGGGUGACAAUCCCGUGCUUGACAUGACGACCAGUGCUCUGUGAUACGUUCUCUACGAGUCGAGUUGUUUGGGAAUGCAGCUCAAAAUGGGUGGUGAGUUCCAUCUAAAGCUAAAUAUUGGCGAGAGACCGAUAGCGAACAAGUACCGUGAGGGAAAGAUGAAAAGCACUUUGGAAAGAGAGUUAAACAGUACGUGAAAUUGUUGAAAGGGAAACGAUUGAAGUCAGUCGUGUCCAUGGGGUUCAGCCGGUUACGCCGGUGUAUUCCCCUUGGAUGGGUCAACAUCAGUUUGGACCGGUGGAAAAAGGCAGUUGGAAGGUAGCAGCUCCGGCUGUGUUAUAGCCUUCUGCCGCACACACUGGUCUAGACUGAGGCAUGCAGCUCGCCCUUGUGGCUGGGGUUUACCCACAUUCGAGCUUAGGAUGUUGACAUAAUGGCUUUAAACGACCCGUCUUGAAACACGGACC